rnacentral:rRNA from 1 species
UCUCCUACGGGAGGCAGCAGUGGGGAAUAUUGGGCAAUGGAGGCAGCUCUUACCCAGCAAUGCCGCGUGAAUGAAGAAGGUCUUCGGAUUGUAAAGUUCUUUAAUUGGGGACGAAAAAAAUGACGGUACCCAAGGAAUAAGCCCCGGCUAACUACGUGCCAGCAGCCGCGGUAAUACGUAGGGGGCAAGCGUUGUUCGGAAUGACUGGGCGUAAAGGGUGUGUAGGCGGUGUAGCAAGUUAGAAGUGAAAUACCUAGAGCUUAACUCAGGAGCUGCUUCUAAAACUGCUAUACUUGAGUGCGGUA